UACGUAGGGGGCUAGCGUUGUCCGGAAUCAUUGGGCGUAAAGCGCGCGUAGGCGGCCAGAUAAGUCCGGUGUGAAAGUCACAGGCUCAACCUGUGAAUGCCGCUGGAAACUGUCUGGCUAGAGUCCGGAAGGGGCGAGUGGAAUUCCUGGUGUAGCGGUGAAAUGCGCAGAUAUCAGGAGGAACACCAAUGGCGAAGGCAGCUCGCUGGAACGGUGCUGACGCUGAGGCGCGAAAGCGUGGGGAGCGAACAGG
rnacentral:rRNA from 1 species